GUAAUACAAAUCCGGUCCAUUCAUUUCUACCAAUAUGAUUUCUUGAUGAUUCGAUUCGAAUCACUGGUUAUGAUGGUUUUCAGUAUUAAAUCUCAUCAUUUUCAAUAAUGAAUAUUUCAAUAAGGAAUCCUUCCUUGGUUUUGUUUAUAGAUGUUGGGUAUUCAUUCUGGUUUUAUAUCAUAAAAUUGCUGCUUUUCUUCAGUUUACAGGAAGGAAACUUCUGCCUUGUUUUCUGAUUGCAAGAUGAAAUUGUUUGCUUUUGCUUUCAGUUUGUGCAAUGAAAUUGUGUGCUUUUUGUGAACUGGGUGCAUUUAGUUUGGCUUUGUUGAUUGAAUGAAAACAUCUUGUAUGAUGAUGUCUGGGUAUUCUUCUCAGUCUGUUCAAUGGAGUUUUUAUACUCAAACUGUCUUUUCCUUGUAUGAUCUUGGAGGCUUUUUCCCUUAGUUUGUGCUUCAUUCUAUCUAAUUUUCAGUUUUCAUGAUGUUACUAAUAUUUAUUCAACUGAUUUCUCUUUGAAACACAUCUUUACUUAUUUGGUUUUGCAUUUGAGUAUGUCUGCAGCUUUUUCUGUUUGGAUGGUAUUGGAGUAUUGAAGUCUUUGUUUAUUCAGUGAAAUUUUUGUUCGACCAAUCCUUUACUUAUUGUUUUUGUUAUUAUCCUGGAGUUUUCUCCCUUGUAUGGAAAUUUCUGUUCUUUGUAAUGGUGAUUAACUAGUUUUUGCUUUUGCAUGUUUUCUAAGUUUAUUCAAUGAUUUUCGCUUUCAAUCAGAACUUUACCUUCUGGUUUUAAAUUUCAUGAAUUUGUACUAUCUAAUUGAGGAUUUACUCGAAUUGUUCUUGCUGUUUCGAUGCACCUGGAGCAUUUUUUUUCCUUUAUUGAUUCGAUUGAACAUUUCUUUUGUUGAGUUUUUCUCCCUGAUGUAUUUUCUUCCUUCUUUUCCCAGGGAAUCCUCUAUUUCACAGUCUGCUAGAGAUUUUUUUAUUACUCUAUCAAUGGAACUUUCUGUUAUUGAGUAUGAUGGAGCAUUUACUCAUAGCUUAUUCAAUAAUAUCAUGUUCAGGAAUGUGAUUCAGUUGAUUUCAGAUGUAAUCUUUUACAUAAUAUCAUCUGUUUGUGAUGAUAUUUAAGCAUUUUCUUCGAUCACCCUGAUUAAAUGGCUUAAUUCUUUGGUUUUGUGUUCGAUAAAAAAAAUCCUUUUGGAGAUAAUGUGAAAGUAGUUUUUUCUCGGUCUAUUCAACUAAAACUUUAUUAUAAACAAAAUUUGAUGAUAGUUGAAGCAUCUCUCUCAGUCUUUUUAAUAGAAUUUUGUUUUGUUUUGCUUUCUGUUCAAGAUGAUGUACAAGUAGUUUUCUCAGUCCAAUAAAGAUAAACUAUCUUUCAAACAAAUCUUAGAUGAUGUUGGAGGUAAAAUCCGAGUCUAUUCAAUAGGAGAAAAAUCUGUGUGAUUGAAUUUGAGAGCUUCUUGAUUUGAUUGUAUGGGUAACUCAAAGAAGAAAACAGCUUCUUCUCCAAAGCAGAAAGCAGAAGCUUCAGAACAACAACAACAGCCUCCCCAGGCUCCAAGGAAGAGAGGAAGACCCAAGAAGAUUGUUGAAGAGAAAGUUGCAGAGAAGCCCAUAGAAGAAGAAGAAGAGCAACAAGCAGAAGAAGAGCAGGAUGAAUCAAAAAAGCCUGCAAAGGCCCCAAAACAAGGUGAAUCUUCAUCAUCUGCAGCUGGUGUAAAGGAAGAGGAAGGAGGACCUUCUAAACCCCAAAGCCCAAGAAAAAGCAGGCGAAAGAGCCAGCCUCGGAGGGCUGCAAAGUAAUCAGAAUUCUUUGGUUUUUUUUUUUAUCUGUUUCUUUCUAUACCAUAACACACAAGGUAAAAAUAUCAUUGUUGUUUAUUACUGUUCCUAUCAUUAUUGAAGGCCAGAAAUGUGCUUCUUUCUGGUUGUGUACCAUGAAGAGACCCCCCCAAAAAAACUAGGUAUUCCUAUUCCUAUUUCUUCUCCUCAUAUUAUUGAUCAUUAUUAGAUUUUUGGGCAUGGAAAACAGGCUGUGCAAGUGCAAUUGUUCAUCAUCUUCUUCUUCCACUGUAAUAUGUUAUUAUGACUGUAUAUUCCAAAUUCAUUAAUGGAGAAGCUGUGCUGUCUCCAAAUUUUGUAAGGGCAAAGAAAAAAGGCAGGUCUGAAACUGAAACUGAAACUAUUGUUAUUAUGAUGAUUGAUUGAUAUUAUUUAAUGUAUUUCUCA